CAAAUUUGAAUUCAAAGCUCUGUUCCAUGGAAAGAAGAAAUGGCCUCUACCAUAGGGCAUGCAAUGUGGCACCAAUUAGUGGGGCUCUUGUGGAAGAAAAUGACCACAAUCUUCUGAAUCCUGACUCUAGAGAAUUAGGAAGAGGCAGGUGCGGUGAUGAAUACGAAGGAACAAAAUAAUCAAACAAACAAGUUUACUAAGAAGACAUUAAGGAAUGCAUUUACUGGAGUGAAGCAGAGAAAGUGACCACGUCAGCCUUCUGGGAUGAAGAAGAGGAUGGAUUCUGGAGUGCCGACACUGUCUGAGGAUUUGUGAAUGUGAAAGCC